UACGGAGGGUGCAAGCGUUAUCCGGAUUCAUUGGGCGUAAAGGGUGCGUAGGCGGCGGGGCAAGUCGGAUGUGAAAUCUCAGGGCUCAACCCUGAAACUGCAUUCGAUACUGCCUUGCUCGAGGACUGGAGAGGAGAUUGGAAUUCAUGGUGUAGCAGUGAAAUGCGUAGAUAUCGUGAGGAAGACCAGUGGCGAAGGCGGGUCUCUGGACAGUUCCUGACGCUGAGGCACGAAGGUCAGGGGAGCAAACGGG
rnacentral:rRNA from 1 species